AUUGAACGCUAGCGGGAUGCCUUACACAUGCAAGUCGAACGGAGUGGCGAACGGGUGAGUAAUGUAUCGGAACGUGCCCAGUAGAGGGGGAUAACUACGCGAAAGCGUAGCUAAUACCGCAUACUAUUUGAGCGGCCGAUCUCGGAUUAGCUAGUUGGGUGGGUAACGGCUCACCCAGGCGACGAUCCGGAGCUGGUUUGAGGGGACGACCAGCCACACUGGGACGGAGACACGGCCCAGACUCCGACGGGAGUCAGCAGUGGGGAAUUUUGGACAAUGGGGUAAACCCUGAUCCAGCCAUCCCGCGUGUGCAAUGAAGGCCUUCGGGUUGUAAAGCACUUUUGGCAGGAAAGCGGUACCUGCAGAAUAAGCACCGGCUAACUACGUGCCAGCAGCCGCGGUAAUUC
rnacentral:rRNA from 1 species